GAUGAAGAACGUAGUGAAAUGCGAUAAGUAAUGUGAAUUGCAGAAUUCAGUGAAUCAUCGAAUCUUUGAACGCACAUUGCGCCCGCCAGUAUUCUGGCGGGCAUGCCUGUUCGAGCGUCAUUUCAACCAUCAAGCCCCCGGCUUGUGUUGGGGACCUGCGGCUGCCGCAGGCCCUGAAAACCAGUGGCGGGCUCGCUAGUCACUCCGAGCGUAGUAAUACAUCUCGCUCAGGGCGUGCUGCGGGUUCCGGCCGUUAAAAAGCCUUAUUUACCCAGGGUUGACCUCGGAUCAGGUAGGAAGACCCGCUGAACUUAAGCAUAUCAAUAAGCGGAGGA
rnacentral:misc_RNA from 1 species